rnacentral:rRNA from 1 species
AUGAAUGCUGGCGGUGUGCCUUAGGCAUGCAAGUCGAACGCUCCGCAAGGAGAGUGGCAGACGGGUGAGUAACACGUGAGAAUCUACCUCAAAGUGGGGGGAUAGCUCGCCGAAAGGCGGGGUAAUACCGCAUGUGAUCGCAAGAUCAAAGCCGCAAGGCGCUAUGAGAGGAGCUCGCGUCCUAUCAGGUAGUUGGUGAGGUAAUGGCUCACCAAGCCUAUGACGGGUAGCCGAUGUGAGAGCAUGAUCGGCCACAAGGUCACUGAGACACGGGACCUACACCUACGGGUGGCAGCAACCGGGAAUAUUGCGCAAUGGGCGAAAAGCCUGACGCAGCGACACCCGCGUGCGGGAUGAAGUCCUUCGGGAUGUAAACCGCUGUGGCGAGGGAAGAACCUUGACUGUACCUCGCUAGAAAGCACCUGCUAACCACGUGCCAGAAGCCUCGGUAAUACGUGGGGUGCAAGCAUUAUCCGGAUUUUACUGGGCGUAAAGCGUCCGUCGGCGGCUAAGCAAGUCUGAUGUUUCAAGCCUGGGGCUCAACUCCAGAAAAGCAUCAGAAAACUGCUUGGAUUGAGUGUGUUCGGGGAAACUGGAAUUCUCGGUGGAGGGGUGAAAUCCGUAGAUAUCGAGAGGAACGCCAAUCGCGAAGGCAGGUUUUCUAGGACAUUACUGACGCUCAGGGACGACAGCUAGGGUAGCAAAAAGGGAUUAGAGACCCCUGUAGUCCUAGCCGUAAACUUUCCUUGCUAGUUGUUCCCCUUCUGGGGGAAUGACGUAAGCUAACGCGUUAAGCAAGGCGCCUGGGGAGUACGACCGCAAGGUUAAAACUCAAAGGAAUUGACGGGGGGAGCGCACAAACCGGUGGAGCAUGUGGUUUAAUUCGAUACAAAGCGAAAGACCUCACCCGGACUUGACAUGUAGCUGCACGGCUUAGGAAGCUAGGCCUUCUUCGAGAGUGCUACACAGGUGAUGCAUGGCUGUCGUCAGCUCGUUGUCGUGAGACGUCCGCUUAAGUGCGGUAACGAGCGCAACCCCUAUCGCCAGUUACAAGUGUCUGGCGAAACUGCUCCCGCUCUGCGGGGGAGGAAGGAGGGGACGACGUCAAGUCAGCAUGUCCCUUACGUCCGGGGCCACACACAUCCUACAAUGGGGUAGACAACGGGUUCGCGACGCCGUGAGGCUGAGCCAAUCCUUAUAUAAACUACCCCUCAGUUCAGAUUGCAGGCUGCAAACCCGCCUGCAUGAAGCCGGAAUCGGUAGUAAUCGCAAAUCAGCAGGUUGCGGUGAAUACGUUCUCGCUCCUUGUACACACUGCCCGUCAAGCCAGCAAAGUCGGCAACGCCCAAAGCGGGAGACCACAACUCGCAAGAGAGUGGCCCUUCUACGGCGAGGUCGGCGAUGAGGACU